GACGAACGCUGGCGGCGUGCUUAACACAUGCAAGUCGUACGGUAAGGCCCUUUCGGGGGUACACGAGUGGCGAACGGGUGAGUAACACGUGAGUAACCUGCCCACAACUUUGGGAUAACGCUAGGAAACUGGUGCUAAUACUGGAUAUGUGCUCCUGCUGCAUGGUGGGGGUUGGAAAGCUCCGGCGGUUGUGGAUGGACUCGCGGCCUAUCAGCUUGUUGGUGGGUAGUGGCCUACCAAGGCGGCGACGGGUAGCCGGCCUGAGAGGGUGACCGGCCACAUUGGGACUGAGAUACGGCCCAGACUCCUACGGGAGGCAGCAGUGGGGAAUAUUGCACAAUGGGCGCAAGCCUGAUGCAGCAACGCCGCGUGCGGGAUGACGGCCUUCGGGUUGUAAACCGCUUUCAGCAGGGACGAAGCUUUUUGUGACGGUACCUGCAGAAGAAGCACCGGCUAACUACGUG
rnacentral:rRNA from 1 species